UAACAAGGAUUCCCCUAGUAACGGCGAGUGAAGCGGGAAGAGCUCAAAUUUAAAAUCUGGCCGGGUUACCGGUCCGAGUUGUAGUUUAAAGAAGUGUUUUCGGCGGCAACCUGGGUACAAGUCCUUUGGAACAGGGCAUCAUAGAGGGUGAGAAUCCCGUCCAUGACUCAGUGGAUGCUGCUAUGUGAUACACUUUCAAAGAGUCGAGUUGUUUGGGAUUGCAGCUCAAAAUGGGUGGUAAAUUUCAUCUAAAGCUAAAUACAGGCGAGAGACCGAUAGCGAACAAGUACCGUGAGGGAAAGAUGAAAAGAACUUUGAAAAGAGAGUUAAACAGUGCGUGAAAUUGUUGAAAGGGAAACGUUUGGCACCAGUCAUGCGUUCAGGAAAUCAGUCUAUCGAGGUGGGGAGCUGCAGAGGUUUGGACCGCAAGGCCAGCUUUUGUUGCAUUUCUGCUUGGAUGGAUGCACUUUUCUGUAUGCAGGUCAACAUCAGUUUUGUUCGCCGGAAAAAACCUCAAGAGAAUGUGACAGCUUUGGCUGUGUUAUAGCUCUGGGGCGAUACGGUGGGUGAGACUGAGGCUUUCAGUGUGUGCUUUCGGGCAAGGCUGACCGGGUGCUGCGGGCCAGUACGAGGUACAAUACAUGUAUUUUGCUUCGUGUCUGGCUUGCACUCGCUCGAAUCGGCUCUUCCACGCUUAGGAUGUUGACAUAAUGGU
rnacentral:rRNA from 2 species